AAUUAGCUCUGCUACUGUAGACCACAGCCAUGGCCUCGAAGCUGCUGACGAAAGUCGGAGCAAUUCGAGAUCCUAAAAUGGCACGAAACCCUAACCCUCUCCUCAAUGCCACCAGAAGACUAUUCUCUCAUCGACCAAUUUCAACUCCUCCUCAUUCUCCUCCUUCAUCACCGCCUGAUAAUGGCAAGAGUGCUCACAAGAAAUCAAAACCGACGUCAUCUUUGAAGGACCUCGAGCUUGCGAAAUUUUCAGCCAUUGCUGAUUCCUGGUGGGAUUCUGAAGGGGCAUUUAAACCGUUGCAUGCGAUGAAUCCAACUAGACUUGCUUUUCUUCGCUCCACCCUUUGUCGACAUUUCAGGAAGGAUCCACAUGUUGUUAGGCCUUUCGAAGGACUAAAAAUUGUUGAUGUUGGUUGUGGUGGAGGAAUUCUUUCUGAGCCUUUAGCUCGAAUGGGAGCAACUGUAACAGGAAUUGAUGCUUUGGAGAAAAAUAUCAAUAUUGCUCGUCUUCAUGCUGUAUGGUCAUUUCAUAUCUUAAAUUAUUGUAUGCAUAUAUGUUUCAGCUGAAACUUACAUCAUUUCUAUUUUCUAAGAUGAUAUUUCAUUUAAUUUGAUUUGGAAUAUCUUAUCUGCUGUGUGUAUAUUACUCCUGGUAUGGCAAAUUCUUCACUAAUUAGUAUUCAUAGCGAGGACAUGGAUUUGGGUACUCACUGGAUAGCAACAGGGCAAAUUUGGUGUGGGGACCUGCUUGAGUACCAGCCCAUGAGGAAUAUUGUUCUGUUUGCAUCUUCAUCCCCACCAAAUUCCAGCAAGGGAUGAGGCAGGAUAAUCUCCAGAAAAGAUGGGCCUUAUGGGGUCCCACUGAGACAUUUGUAAAUGUGACAAGAACUGUAGUAAAAAUAGAAAACAGUACAGAAGUUUCUCAACCAUAGUACAAAAUCUGAGUUCAAUGCUCUCUCUUCCUAUGUGUGUGGGUAUCCCCACCCCAAAAACAAUUUUAACUUCACAUGCAUGUUGAAUAUGAAUCCUUCUUAGAUUCUUCUUUUCCUUCCUUAUUGCUAUUGUUGAAAAUAGAAGGGGAAUGGCUAAAGUUGAACAACUUGGAAAGAUUAUCACAAUACUGAACCCUCUCCUGUAAUGUGAAUUUUACAGGACAUAUACAGUGUAUUCAUUAUAUAUUUUAUAUGAACAUAAUAGUAUCACAUGAAAUACAGUAUACAGUGUACAGAUCAUUUAGGUGGGGUAGGCCUUGGGAGUGGGGUGUACUGAAUUUGAUGUUAUACAUUUCUUGUGCACAUGGAUCUUGUACUUAGCUUGUGUGAAGUAUUUAGGGUUAAGGCUGUAUACUGUAUAGUAUAGAGAGGAGUUUGGGCUCAUCCAAUCACAUAAGGUUAUGUAUGUGGUUUCUACUUAGACACUGGGAGCAUAGUUUCCUCUUCAAUAUGAAAAAAUGGGAAGAAGGAAAAAGCCCUUUACUGAGUUGAUUUCUGUGUUUUACUGUCCCCUAAACUGUGAUUAUGUUCAGUAUAAUCUCCUGAUCAUAUGUUACUGAUUGUUCCAAUAAUUCUUGAAUUCUAACUUUUCGUUGCAUUCAUCAAAUUUAUGCAAGCCAUCUGAUUUAAAUGAAAUAAUUGUCAAAGUGUAAUAUUGAGAAUUACUAGUGUUUAAUCAAUGCCUAUUUUAUUUUGUCAGUUCAAAAUAUUUAUACUUUUUAUCUGCCUGCACAGGGAUUGGACCCAGUGACUUCAACCAUUGAAUACUGUUGCACAACAGCUGGUACAUGCAAAUUUUGUUAAUCUCUUGUGUAGGUCAAGCUUUCCAGUAAUUUUCACUCCUUUGUACAUUCAAAUUGACAUUGUUUUGGUCUCAUAAACUUGCUCCGUCUGAAUAGGUGGAUGCUGGCAUCCUCUUGUGAAUGAGAGUCAGUUUUCCAUCCAUGUAGUCCAGUGUUCUUCUUUUGCUCCUCGUGAGUAUUCAGUUUGCUUAAGAGAGGUUAACCUAAGUUGCUUCACUCAAUACAAAUGUUUUUGAAUCAUCUCUACGUAGUGUAAUUACUGGCUCUAUAUUUUUCCCCUGCUGUGGAAUGCCCGAGUCAAGAAACAUAAUCGUGUUUUUGUGUUACUUAAAAUGCAUUGAUCCUUUGUGUGCAGUAGAUAGAUCAUAUAUUUUCUUUGAAGUUCAUCCCCUGGUAAUUAUCUUUUACAUAUUCCUUACAAAAAGGGGACUGGUCAUUUCUAAGUUUAUGGUUCAUGAAAGAUAUAAUGUAGUUCAAACUUGAAGUUCAACGGUUGAUUGAACAUUUAAAUUGCAUUAGCACAAAUAUUCUAUCAAAUAUUUUCUUUUGAUGAACA
rnacentral:misc_RNA from 1 species